rnacentral:rRNA from 1 species
AUGUGGGGACCAUCCUCCAAGGCUAAAUACUCGUGAUCGACCGAUAGUGAACCAGUACCGUGAGGGAAAGGCGAAAAGAACACCGGGAGGGGAGUGAAAUAGAUCCUGAAACCGCAUGCAUACAAACAGUCGGAGCCUCGCAAGGGGUGACGGCGUACCUUUUGUAUAAUGGGUCAGCGACUUACGUUCAGUAGCAAGCUUAACCGUAUAGGGCAGGCGUAGCGAAAGCGAGUCCGAAUAGGGCGUUCAGUUGCUGGGCGUAGACCCGAAACCAAGUGAUCUAUCCAUGGCCAGGAUGAAGGUGCGGUAACACGUACUGGAGGUCCGAACCCACUAACGUUGAAAAGUUAGGGGAUGAGCUGUGGAUAGGGGUGAAAGGCUAAACAAACUUGGAAAUAGCUGGUUCUCUCCGAAAACUAUUUAGGUAGUGCCUCGUGUCUCACCAUCGGGGGUAGAGCACUGUCAUGGUUGGGGGGUCUAUUGCAGAUUACCCCGCCAUAGCAAACUCCGAAUACCGAAGAGUGCAAUCACGGGAGACAGACAUCGGGUGCUAACGUCCGGUGUCAAGAGGGAAACAACCCAGACCGCCAGCUAAGGUCCCCAAAUAUAGCUAAGUGGGAAACGAAGUGGGAAGGCUAAAACAGUCAGGAGGUUGGCUUAGAAGCAGCCAUCCUUUAAAGAAAGCGUAAUAGCUCACUGAUCGAGUCGUCCUGCGCGGAAGAUGUAACGGGGCUAAGCUAUAUACCGAAGCUGCGGAUGCGAGCUUUGCUCGCAUGGUAGGAGAGCGUUCCGUAAGCCUGCGAAGGUGCCUUGUAAAGGGUGGUGGAGGUAUCGGAAGUGCGAAUGCUGACAUGAGUAGCGAUAAAGGGGGUGAAAGGCCCCCUCGCCGUAAGCCCAAGGUUUCCUACGCAACAUUCAUCGG